rnacentral:lncRNA from 1 species
GAGGAGGAUGUGGAGGUGGUGGCGAUGAUUCCCCCGCGCGUAGGUUGCUUACCGUUCCCACUCACGUUCCCAGGUACGUUCCCAUUCCGCGGGGACUAGGUCCACAACAGACUUGGUGCCGCGGCCAGUUCCCAUCUUCACUUUUAUCCCAGCCCUAAAUGGAGAGAACAGAGAGAGAAAGAGAAAGAUAGAAAGAGAAAGAGAAAGAGAG